GUUUUUGUUUUUUAAAGACGAGGUCUC
rnacentral:piRNA from 1 species